GACAAACGCUGGCGGCGUGCCUAACACAUGCAAGUCGAGCGAUCGGCUCGGGAGGGGUAACCCACCCGAGUACGGAGCGGCGAACGGGUGAGUAACACGUGGGCAACCUGCCCCAGGCUCUGGAACAACCCCGGGAAACCGGGGCUGAUGCCGGAUAUUCUCGAGCAAUCGCCUGGGAGGCCGCGGAAAGCUCAGGCGGCCUGGGAUGGGCCGGCGGCCUAUCAGCUAGUUGGUGGGGUAACGGCCCACCAAGGCGACGACGGGUAGCUGGCGUGAGAGCGUGGCCAGCCACACAGGGACUGAGACACGGCCCAGACUCCUACGGGAGGCAGCAGUGGGGAAUCUUGCACAAUGGGCGAAAGCCUGAUGCAGCGACGCCGCGUGGGGGAUGAAGGCCUUCGGGUUGUAAACCCCUUUCGGCAGGGAAGAAGCCGCAAGGUGACGGUACCUGCAGAAGAAGCCCCGGCCAACUACGUGCCAGCCGCCGCGGUAAUAC
rnacentral:rRNA from 1 species